UACAGAGGGUGCGAGCGUUGUUCGGAAUUAUUGGGCGUAAAGGGCGCGUAGGCGGUGCGGUAAGUCACCUGUGAAAUCUCCUGGCUCAACUGGGAGCUUGCAGGCGAAACUGCCGUGCUGGAGUGUGGGAGAGGUGCGUGGAAUUCCCGGUGUAGCGGUGAAAUGCGUAGAUAUCAGGAGGAACACCGGUGGCGAAGGCGGGGUCUCUGGGCAGUAACUGACGCUGAGGAGCGAAAAGCGUGGGGAAGCGAACAGG
rnacentral:rRNA from 1 species